GUUCCCAUACCGAACACAGUAGUUAAGCUCAGUAGCGCCAAAAGUAGUUGGAGGAUCGCCUCCUGCGAGGAUAGGACG
rnacentral:rRNA from 1 species